rnacentral:rRNA from 2 species
AAUAACAAUACGAGUCUUAAAGUCUUGUAAUUGGAAUGACGGGAAUCUAAAACCUUUCCGGAGUAUCAAUUGGAGGGCAAGUCUGGUGCCAGCAGCCGCGGUAAUUCCAGCUCCAAUAGCGUAUAUUAAAAUUGUUGCAGUUAAAAAGCUCGUAGUUGAAUUUCUGCUGCAUCCGUGUCAUUCCUAACUGGUUUGUCACUGUUGUGGCUUUUUCUGGUGGUUGUGCUUCGGCUAGAUCUCCAGAUUGUUACUUUGAGAAAAUUAGAGUGCUUCAAGCAGGCUUUUGCCUUGAAUACUUUAGCAUGGAAUAACUAAGUAGGACUUUGGUUCUAUUUUGUUGGUUUAAGAGCCAAAGUAAUGUAGCCCCCACUCCGAUA